GACGAACGCUGGCGGCGUGCUUAACACAUGCAAGUCGAACGGAAAGGCCCUGCUUUUGUGGGGUGCUCGAGUGGCGAACGGGUGAGUAACACGUGAGUAACCUGCCCUUGACUUUGGGAUAACUUCAGGAAACUGGGGCUAAUACCGGAUAGGAUCUCCUGCUGCAGGGGGGGGGUGGGAAAGUUUUGGCGGUUGGGGAGGGCCUCGGGGCUUAUCCGCUUGUUGGUGGGGGAGUGGCUUACCAAGGCUUUGCGGGGUAGCCGGCCUGCGAGGGUGACCGGCCACAUUGGGACUGAGAUCCGGCCCAGCCUCCUACGGGAGGCAGCAGUGGGGAAUAUUGCACAAUGGGCGGAAGCCUGAUGCAGCAACGCCGCGUGCGGGAUGACGGCCUUCGGGUUGUAACCCGCUUUCGCCUGUGACGAAGCGUGAGUGACGGUAAUGGGUAAAGAAGCACCGGCUAACUACGUG
rnacentral:rRNA from 1 species